GAUGAAGAACGCAGCGAAAUGCGAUACGUAAUGUGAAUUGCAGAAUUCAGUGAAUCAUCGAGUCUUUGAACGCACAUUGCGCCCUCUGGUAUUCCGGAGGGCAUGCCUGUCCGAGCGUCAUUGCUGCCCUCAAGCACGGCUUGUGUGUUGGGCCCCGCCCCCCGAUCCCGGGGGGCGGGCCCGAAAGGCAGCGGCGGCACCGCGUCCGGUCCUCGAGCGUAUGGGGCUUUGUCACCCGCUCUGUAGGCCCGGCCGGCGCUUGCCGAUCAACCAAACUUUUUUCCAGGUUGACCUCGGAUCAGGUAGGGAUACCCGCUGAACUUAAGCAUAUCAAUAAGCGGAGGA
rnacentral:misc_RNA from 1 species